AGUUAUUUAUGUUCAACACGCUAAGGAAUGUCGUCGCUGUCGAGUGGAUAGGAGCUGUGUUACAGAAUGAGUUCGGAGUAAUGUGGCCACCGGGAUGUUCCGAACUUGAGAACAGAACUUUGCAUACUUUAGUGAGGAUUCUGUGAAACUAACUCACACUGUCUCAAUGGAGAGAAACUUUCGUUUCUGGAUAUCUGGAUUAUUCUCUUGAAGCUACGUGAGAAUUAUACAUUUCAUCAUUAUUGCCACUUUCUUUAAAAUAACAACCUUUACAAAUAUUCUCAACGCUAUCUUUAGAAACAUUUAAUUGAUCAAAAUAAAAAAAACUCCAUUUGUAAACUAUUCGCAUGGAUCAUACGCAUGUUGUUGUGAGGAACAAAUGCGAAAAAUACAAUAAGAGGAAUGAAAGAAAUCAGAUGCAUAAGUGUGAUGGAUCACUCCGUGUACAGCGAGCUCCGUCGAGGGAAGACAUUCAGUUAUUCAAUACCAUCGCAUCAAUUUUAUGGAGAAAAUACAUUUCCAGAUAAGAUCGUGAUCAGAAUUUCACGUUAUCUUCAACGUUAUUGCAUCGGAAUUGGAAUUGAAAAUUAUUACAUUUAAUAGAAAAUCUGUCAGUUCAAAUAAACAUUAUAAUAUUAUUUAAUUUUAAUGGUUGACUGAGAAAAAUCACCUAUUUAAAGCACAUUUGUCUACAUACGGAGGCGCCAGUGAUCGUUGGUACGUGUCUUUAUAUGUUUGUAUAUUCUAAGGUCUGCUGUGCGCGUGUUCAUUUAUUUGCAUAAGAUAUAUGUUUUAAUAUUGUACUCAUUGUAUUCGCGGCAGUAUUUACAUGAAUCUGCUGCGUCAGAAUGUUCCAUCAAAUUAAAAAUGCUGCAAGGAAAAAUGUUCUCUGUUGAAAACGUAGUAAUAAUUUUAUUCUAAAAGUUCUGAUGAGCACAAAAACAAUUGCAUUGAACUAUUUUAUUAACAUUUUCAAUGUGUUAUUAAAUUGAAAUUUGCAACCGAUUUUCAAUUUAUUUUGAUUUUGUACUGAAAUGCUAACUCAUCCUCAAGAUACAGUCCAUUGUACAGUACAUUGAGGACCAGUAGUAUGGUCACGGACAAGGGAUUUUAUAUGUUUGUUAAGGGUAUCCUUCGUUUUAGAUAUUUGCCAGCCAUUUCCCUUUUUGAAUUUAGAAAGAUUUUUAAUUUCAAUGAUCUCGCGGAGUUAUCUCAGAAUAUGCCUGUCUUCGCGAGCAACGAGUUGAACUGGAUGUAGUGGCUUGAUUUGUCACCUGUGUGGAACCACGCUGAGGACUAUGACACACUUCUGUUUUUAAUAUCUGAGAUAUAUUCUUUGACCCUUGUACCGAUUCCCCUCUUCAUUUGUCUUGUGUAUGCUUCUCAUAAUCAAGUUUUUACACAACCGCUUGUCGAAAAGGGAUGAUAGUUUAAUUGGUCUCCAAUACUGUCCCACUCUUUAAUGUGGUUUAUACAUUGUUUUGAUGAAAAUCUACUUUAAUAUAUUGCCUAUACUUUCAGCAACUACCGUCACAUACGUUAAUAUGGCAUUUAGUUGCCGAACUUUGGAUGGCUUCAAGUGGUUUUUGUUAUGCAGGGGAGGCACAGUUGAAUGGUUAUGAUGAGAACAUGCUUUGCUCGGCAUGCUGGUGCUCGGCAUUUAGAUCCGCAUCGCAAAGGUGUAAGGCCCUCUGAAACAAAGAUUAAUAAUGGUACUUAAUUGGCUAAGGUAAAGCUGUGCUUUUCCAUUGAGAUACCUAUCAGUACGUGUGGGUUUCCUGAAAAUAGUAUGUGUCAGAGUAUUGUUAAGUUUUCUAAUAAUAAGAAUAUCAAAAAACUUUUGACUUUGCCUCUCAUCUUAUACUGAAUUGAAUCUGAGUUUUUAUAGAAAAAGAAGGUAUAUAUUUUUCAAACACUUUCAUAUUAUUACCAUCGCUAUUUUAAUUAUUUUGACAUGAAAUUCUAUUAAAACUUUUAAUUUAUUGAUAUUUAUUGAUUGAUUGAUAUCAAGGUCAUUCCCAAAGCAGUUCACGGUAAUUUAUGAAACAAUGAGUACAAUAGAAGACAUUAUUACCGUCAAACGUACCAUCGAAUAAAUUUAUUGUUUGCAGCGAAAAUAUUUAUUUUGUUAUAAAAUAAAACAGAACGUCAAUCUGACCAACCGUUGAAAGCGAAUGGCGCGAUAAAAUUGCAUUUCGGUGAGUUGCAUUCUCGCGACAAAUCUGGUUUGCCAACUUUAAAUUAGUUUCCGACCGCGUUUAUCUCAACCUCAUUAACUUCUUGCAACAAACAUUAUAUUUAAAAAUUACAAUUCAUUGGAAAAAAACAAAAAUAAUUUCAAUUAGCGUCCCCGCAAUAAUAUCUCAAGAUUUUUUGUGAAGUGCAAAACUUCUGGAGCGGAUUUAAAAUUCAAUUCCACUAACUAGCAGAGUUUGUGAGUUUUUGUGGAGGUCGUCUGUAUUUUAAGGUCUGCUAGACCGCGGAGAGGCGGACGCGACCUGCGAUUUAAUACUGGAUCUGUUUUUGCUCCAUAUACAACAUUAAUUUAACCGGACAAUCGGUUUUCACGUUUUGUUUUUAGCUUUACAUGACCGGCUACAACAAAAUAUCCCUGGAACUACAAAUAUUGUAACUUGUAAAGCCUUUUUUACUGAUUUUACUUUCUUUCUCAAUUUUUUUUAUUAUGUUCUUUGAUACAUCUCAUUGUUUUAUUUGUUUUUUUUUUUCUUACAUUUAAUAGAGCUUUUGUAUUUAUGUUGCAUGUAUAUUAUAUUAAGGUUGGACAAAAGGUAUUGGAUAGACGUGAGAAUAUAGACGUCAAAACAUUUUCAAAAACUGAGCAGAUGUUUACAUCUCUAUAGGUUCUGACUGUUUUCUUAAUAUUAAACAUCAUCGGUUGUG